ACACCUGUAACCAUGCCGAACACAGAAGUUAAGCUUCUUAGCGCCGAUUGUAGUGAGGGGUUGCCCCUUGUGAGAGUAGGACGUCGCCACGCA
rnacentral:rRNA from 1 species